GAAUGUGGGAAAACUCACAGGAUGUUAGCACGUGUGAACAUGGCAAGAUUUGCAGUCAAAGAAGACCUGGGUGAAGAAACUAUUGCAGUGGCAUCCUGUUGCUGAUCUCCAUCCUGCUUUCAGCUCAAGAGCAGCUGCCUGAUUGGAUGGCAAUCAACACGAGGACUCCACAUCGGCUCACUGUGAAUGCUGUUUAGCUGAAGAGCCAGGUUGUUGGAAGGGCAUCUGCCCUUUAGAAGUCUAAACUGAGUUCAACUGUUUCUUAUCCAAUGACUUUUAAACUUGUUUUUUUAAAAAAUCCCCUUAAUGCAGGAACAAUCCCUUUAUGACUCCAAAAAUGUGGUUAUGGUAUAAGUGAUAUAGUCACUGCACUAAGACAUAUUGGUAGACUGGCAAGGAGGUCUUUAUAAGGUGUGGAAUCCUGGGAUGUCAUUUCUAGUGGCAGUUACUUAGACAAGAAGAAUUUCUUUAGAUCAGAAGCCAGAUCUGAAUGCUAAGUUCCUAGGUAGGUAGAGGAAACUUGGUAUGUAAGAUCGUUGGUAUGUAUGAUCUUCAUUAUACAAAGAUCAAGUUAUCCUGAAAAGUCUUGAGUGAUGGGGAAGGCCACCAAAUAUAAUUGAAAAAGUUGUUCACUGCACAAGAGUGCCUGGCUGAGGGAGUAAGUAGAAGCUGAAAUCCAUGCUGCUCUUUGCUCCCCAAGACAAGAACCUACAGGGUUGCAUCUGUCCAGAGGGGGCACCUUUGUCAAGUUCACACACAGAUGUCUUACAGGUUAGACAAGGCCCUUGGUGGCAGGGCUUCAUGACGGCACCAGCCACAUGCAACAGAAACACAGAAACCAUGGAAUACUAUGCAGCCACGAAAAGGAAGGAGAUCAUUUCCUUUGCAGGGACAUGAAUGGAGCUGGAAGCCGUUAUUCUCAGCAAGCUAACAUAGGAACAGAAAACCAAACACCACAUGUUGUCACUUAUAAGUGGGAGCUGAACGAUGAGAACACAUGGACACAUGGAGGGAACAACACACACUGGGGCCUGUCAGGUGGCUGGGGCUUGGGCAGGGAGAGCACCAGGAACAAUAGCUAAUGAAUGCUGGGCUUAAUUCCUGGGUGAUGGGUUGAUUUGUGCAGCAAAUCACCAUGGUAUACGUUUACCUAUGUAACAUAUCUGCACAUCCUGCACAUGACCCCAGAACUUAAAAGUUGAAGGAAAAAAAAACAGGCAGACAGGAGCUUGACAAUUUUGGCUUGAGGACACAAAUCCUAACACAGCACGUGAAAAACAAUAUGGCCUAAAAGCUCUGGAAACACACGGCCCAAACUAGGGUCAAAAAACUAUUUUGUGAACCUUGUACCACUAUCUAUGCUUAUUUCCUUUUGUUUUUCCUUAGAAUUAUAUAAAGCUUUUGCAAGAGUUCCAGUCUGUCUUGACUGUGUUUAGAGGAACCAUGGGAAAGGUUUUGUUUGAUGCUUGUGUCACACUAUUACAGAGUCAUCUGCCUCCAGGGCUCAGAAAGGUGGUAAUGAAAGAAAUUAGAACUGCCCACCUUUAC
rnacentral:lncRNA from 1 species